AUUGAACGCUGGCGGCAUGCUUUACACAUGCAAGUCGAACGGCAGCGCGGGCUUUGGCCUGGCGGCGAGUGGCGAACGGGUGAGUAAUGCAUCGGAACGUGCCCAGUAGUGGGGGAUAGCCCGGCGAAAGCCGGAUUAAUACCGCAUACGACCUGAGGGUGAAAGCGGGGGACCGAAAGGCCUCGCGCUAUUGGAGCGGCCGAUGUCGGAUUAGCUAGUUGGUGGGGUAAAGGCUUACCAAGGCGACGAUCCGUAGCUGGUCUGAGAGGACGACCAGCCACACUGGGACUGAGACACGGCCCAGACUCCUACGGGAGGCAGCAGUGGGGAAUUUUGGACAAUGGGGGCAACCCUGAUCCAGCCAUGCCGCGUGCGGGAAGAAGGCCUUCGGGUUGUAAACCGCUUUUGUUCGGGAAGAAAGCCUCUGGGCUAAUACCCCGGGGGGAUGACGGUACCGGAAGAAUAAGCACCGGCUAACUACGUG
rnacentral:rRNA from 1 species